rnacentral:lncRNA from 10 species
CUAGCCAAACCCGUGUGGUUGGUAUUAUUUCCGGGCUGCAAUGAGAAAACAAAACUGCAAGGAGAAGUAACUUGCCUCUGGUUAUACCGCUAACCGUGAGAACAGGCUGUUCCAACGAGACUUGAAAAGCUGCCUUUGGUGGACUGACUUCCCGGUCCCCUCAAAGAAUGUCAGUCCUGAGGGUCUGUAAUCCUCUCACUCCCAAAGUAAGAGCCUCCCUCCCACUUGGCCACGCCCAGCCAGAGGCCUGAGGACCGCAGCGUGUAGGAGCCAGAACCGCGGAGGAAAAAGGCCAGGGGUGAAGCUGAGGCUCACGCACAUCCCCAGUCAUUACGAACCGUCAUGCGCUUUACAGAAGGGACCACAUUCUCAUACCUGUGAACGCUCCCUUACUUGUUAAACUAAAAAAAUAUAUCCUCCUCGUCAUUCCCCUCAAAUAAUCCUUUUGUACAACGGUACAGUCAUUUUUCUCGUUUGCAGAUUGUCAGGAGCUCAGGGUCUUUCAUGUAUUUGCUCUAAUGAGUCACAUUAUUAGAUGGUCAAAUUGUCAGACUUGUCGUGUGAACACCUUUAGGAUGCCCCUGGCAUCCUUGAAAGCAUUCUUCCUUUCUGGCGACUGUAAAGAUGAUCCAGAACUUUCUGUCCUGAUUUCCUCUUGCCUCAACACAAGAAAUCUGUGGAGUCCUGAUUCCAUUAAUAGAGAACAAGUGUUAAAGAUCAAAAUCCGGGCUGGGUGCGGUAGCUCACGCCUGUAAUCCCAGGACUUUGGGAGGCCGAGAUGGGCAGGUCACCUGAGGUCAGGAGUUCGAGACAAGCCUGGCCAACAUGAUGAAACCCUGUCUCUACUAAAAAUACAAAAAUUACAUGGGCAUGGUGGCGGGAGCCUGUAAUCCCAGCUACUCGGGAGGCUGAGCCAGGAGAAUCGCUUGAACCCGGGAGGUGGAGGUUGCAAUGGGCCAAGAUCGCGUCAGUGCACUCCAGCCUGGGCAUCAAGAGCAAGACUCCAUCUCAAAAAAAAAAAAAAUCAAAAUCUGGCUGCACUGGGACUUACUCCUGGUAGUGACAAAGCUGGAACAUUUCUUUUUGAGAUUAUGAAUUUAUAUAGAUAGUUUCAAUUCAGCAUAAUGCCUCUCUGAACUUCACUUUAAAAAAACAUAUAGGUUAUCAUUUCCAUGAUCAAGACUUUUGGUUCCCCAACAGGACCAAGGCGGCUUGAGGAAGAAUCAAGGGUAGUAUCGGCUUCAGGAAGUAACAAAGCACAGGCAGGGUCCUCUGCGAAGUGAUGCAGAUGAAACCCCAGGAAUGAAUGACACGCUCAGUACCUGCCAGGCACCGCUCUGAGAACUUCAUCCGCAUUAUGUUACUUAAUCAUCACGGCCCCCUGCCAGGAGGAUCAUUAUGCCUGCUUUACAGAAAAGACUUACAGGUUAAAGUGCCUAAGGUCCUGCAGUCUCCAAACCUGGCCAAUCCACCCGCAGAGCCCAUGCUCUGAACCACCGCACCACAUGGCCAGGUGAGGGCCGUCUCGGUCCCCAAAUGAGCCGCCUACGCAUACACUGCCAAGCCUUUGCCCACGCUGUUGGCUCUCCCCUGCUGUGCUUGGAACGCCUACUUGACCUUCAAAUUCCAGCCUGAGUCCUCCACCUCCUCUGUGCUCCUGACUCCUUGUGCAUCUCCACACACAUUAGAGCUGUGUGUGUGUGUGUGUGUCCCUCAGGGCACACACGCAAGGGCAGGUUCUGCGCUUCAUUCAUUUGCAUCCACACUGCACAGUGCCUGACACACAGAUGGUGCUCAAGACAUACUUGAUGAAGGAAGAAAGAGGGAAACCUGGAUCUCAGGUAGCUCAGGGAAAUGCUUCUAUCACCUGGCACGAGCUGAGGGAUCCCCGCUCCCGCCUGUCAUUUUAUAUUUAUUAAAAGGGACCUACCCCGUCUCCUGCUCCAUGCAGCACCUUAAAUAUUAGGUGGCUGCUUUUCUCAAAAUGAGAGUCUUUCCUGCUAAGGAAAACAAUAGCCUGAUUUGCUCCUGUCCUCAAGAUUUCUGGUAACAAUCUCAGAGGUCAGCGAGGAAAACUGGAGUGGGGUAGAGGGCCAAGGACUUAUAGUCUCCUUCAGGGGCUUGGGGGCUUGGGAGAAACCCCACAAACCCAGCAGGCUCUUGCUGGCUGGCUGGCUGAUGAUCAUGCCCUCUCUCUCUCUCUUUCUCUCUGUCUGUCUCUCUCUCUCUCUUUCUCCCUCUCUGUCUCUCUCUCUCUCUCCUACUCCCUCUUCCCCUCCACUUCUCUCUUUGUACCUCUUGCCCUCCUUCUUCUGUUUUCUCUCUCUCUCUCUCUCUCUCACACACACACACACACACACACAGACACACACACACAAACACACACACACACACAUAGAGCCUUGGUAACUAGUGGUUACAAAAAAAGCCCAAAUUCAGCCACAGCCACACUCCGUCAAAUGAGAAAUCCUCUGCUAAUACACGGGCAUGACAAGUUUCUUCCAAAGCAUCUCAUAUGCGUUGCUGUGCAGUCGCCAGUGAACGUGAGUCCAGCCGCCUGCACCACCGCCUUCCCGUGCGUAUGCCUCGGAGCAUUGUUCGUCAGGAUUCCUCAGAUGGAAAAGUUGUGAACAUUUGGGCAGUGCCAGGGCUGGCGUUGCAGAGCCUGCUUUAAUGAGUGCAUAAUUAACACCGUGGGCUUCUGCCAAUGGCCAGCACUUAAGUCCUUGAAAACAGUCUGUUCCCUGAAAUAGGUUAAACGCCCCUCCACCGCCACUGCUACCUCGUUUACACCACUGACUCAGCCACAAUGCCUAUAUAUGUGAAGAAAAAAAUCCCCAAAGAAAUUAUUAGUGUUGGCAUAGCAACAAUAUGUUAAUUGUGUCUUUCCUAAAGCAGGCCCAGCAGGACCACCACCCGGGGUUGGUCCAGUUUCUGUGCACUUUAAAAUAGAAGAAAACUGCACUCUUCUGACUAGGUGCUGUAUUGCAGAAUCUCCCCACCAUGUAACCCAAGUUAAUAAGGUUUAGGUGAUUUUUUAAUGCCUCCAUGCUAAAAUAGAAAAAAAAAAAAAAAAAAAAGCUAAGACUUGAUCCAUAAAACUAUCUUGAUGUCAAGACAUUGAACAGAAAAAAGAUCAUUGUUGUCUGCCUUGGUCCUCCACCCCCGUAACUUCUCUGAUGCAUCUCUGAAGCCUAACUACUCAAUGAAGGAGGGCUCCUGAAUUUGCGGAGGUGAACAGCUUAUGACCAUUAUUACACUUUGGGGUGCAAACGAUAAAGAUCCCAACUCAAAUGAGCUAACCAGGAAAGAAGAGUGUUGGCUGCUUAGAAGGACAUCCAGAUGGGGGCUUCGGGCUAGUGGACUGCACAGUUUGAGGCUGUAACUAAGGGCUUGGCUGUUUUCCAGGUCUCUGUUCUUCCAUUCUCAGUACUGAUGGCAGAAGACUGGGCCCCUAUGAGCACCACUACUAGCAUCCCAGCAAAGGAGGAGAGAGAAACAGAGACAGAGGGAGAGGGACAGAAACAGAGAGAUAAGGAGAGCCAGAGAGAGAAGGGAUCUGGCUUCUCAUCCCUCCACAAAUGGAAGAACAUUUUCCCAGAGACUUUCAGCAAACCACUUCCUGCAUCUCAUUUUAUGGCAGAAUCAGGUCACACAUGCCCAUUCCAGAACUAGUCAGUAGCAAGGAAGAUGGGAUUAUUCUCCCCGGCACCGGAGCACUCCUUGAACUGAAGGUGAUUGUUCAAACUAAAGUCCUACUGUCCCCUGUGCCAGGGGCGGACUGGGCAUUGGAGAGGCCACUGCUGUGUUCACCACAUGAGCACAUAUAUUCUACCACUCUUGCCUCCAGCUAGUCAGGCUCAAGCUUGGGCUCACUCACAAGGGAGCCCACAAAGCAGUGGGAGCUUCAGAGGACGGAGUCCAGUGAUCCUCCUUUCGCGUGGGGAAGUGGCAAAUCCACUCUUUAACACGGCUCUUUAAUUCUCAGGGAUGACGGGUGAGCCUCUCUGGGCAGGAGCACUGGG